UACGUAGGGUGCAAGCGUUGUCCGGAAUUAUUGGGCGUAAAGAGCUCGUAGGCGGUGUGUCGCGUCUGCCGUGAAAACCUGCAGCUUAACUGUGGGCUUGCGGUCGAUACGGGCAUCACUGGAGUUCGGCAGGGGAGACUGGAAUUCCUGGUGUAGCGGUGAAAUGCGCAGAUAUCAGGAGGAACACCGGUGGCGAAGGCGGGUCUCUGGGCCGAUACUGACGCUGAGGAGCGAAAGCGUGGGGAGCGAACAGG
rnacentral:rRNA from 1 species